UGGAGCAAAAAUCCCUCCUUCUUCCUUAGUUUUGCCUCAAAGAAAGGAUGAACAAACGUGCUUGGGCGAGAGUAGUACUAGGAUGGGUGACCUCCUGGGAAGUCUUCGUGUUGCACCCC
rnacentral:rRNA from 1 species